rnacentral:rRNA from 1 species
GAUCCCUUGGCACGUCAUUCGAUGAAGAACGUAGCAAUCUGCGAUAAGUGGUGUGAUAUGCAAGUCCACAGCUUAUACGUGAACCAUCGAAUCUUUGAACGCACUGCACUAUCCGGACGACACCCCCGUGAUAGUAUGCCCCAUUGAGCGUUAUUUGCUUGUUCAUACACCAGCGUGUUUGCUCACUUUGGUGGAUGAGUUCGAGGUUCACACCUAAUCGGUGCGUUCCUUCAGAGCCAUUAGCACUGAGGUCAAUCCAGUCCGCAUCCUGUGAUGAUUUUGCAGGCCAAGGGUGGGUUUGACUGGUGCUUACAACUGCCUCUGGCAAACUGGCCUUGUGCCCACACUUCGUUUAUAACCUCAGUGGGGUAGGAUUACCCGCUAGACUUAAGCAUAUUAAUCAGCGGAGGACAAGAAACUAACAAGGAUUCCCCCAGUAACUGCGAGUGAAGAGGGAAUAG